rnacentral:rRNA from 1 species
UGGGGAAUUUUGGACAAUGGGCGAAAGCCUGAUCCAGCCAUGCCGCGUGGAUGAUGAAGGCCUUAGGGUUGUAAAAUCCUUUCGUUGGGGACGAUAAUGACGGUACCCGAAGAAGAAGCUCCGGCUAACUUCGUGCCAGCAGCCGCGGUAAUACGAAGGGAGCUAGCGUUGUUCGGAAUCACUGGGCGUAAAGCGCACGUAGGCGGAUAGUUAAGUCAGGGGUGAAAUCCUGGGGCUCAACCCCAGAACUGCCUUUGAUACUGGCUGUCUCGAGGUCGAGAGAGGUUGGUGGAAUUCCUAGUGUAGAGGUGAAAUUCGUAGAUAUUAGGAAGAACACCAGUGGCGAAGGCGGCCAACUGGCUCGAUACUGACGCUGAGGUGCGAAAGCGUGGGGAGCAAACAGGAUUAGAUACCCCCGUAGUCCCUGAGCGGGCUGGCAAGGCGCAU